rnacentral:rRNA from 1 species
CGCCGCGGUUACACCACGAGGCUCAAAUUGAUUACUUUCGGCGUAAAGCGUGAUUAAAGUUACCCAUUAACUAUAGUUGUAUUUUAACUAAGCUGUGACACGCUUGUUCUUAAGAAACUCAAAAACGAAAGUUACUAUAUAUAAACCAACUUGAACCCACGACAGCUGAGGCA